AAUAUAUAAGGGGGUAUCGAUAUACGUGAUAUGUAUAUGCGAUAUAUUGUUUAGUGACUAUAGUAUUAUCUUUUUCUCGUAAAGGAUUUGGACGAGACGUGUAUGCUCGAAAACGUCAGGAAGUCGAAAUGGUAUUGCAAAAUGAAUAAGGGAUGAAUCGAGUAAGCGAAGCGAUGUGGCGAAUAGAGUAUGGCUAGAGAUGGUCUAAAAAUUAUGAUAUGAAUAGAUUGUGAAAGUGGAAAGAUGAGGUUGAGCUAUGAGACUGGAGUCAGAUUUAAGAAAGGCUUAAAGAUGAGAUGAUUGAUUGAGAUUGUGAAUAAGGCUAAUGCUAGGCGAGGAGACAGAGUUGAGGAUCCAGUGGUCGAGGAGUGUUCAGGAAAGUUGAUGAGGUUGGUGCAAGCUAGAGCUGUGCUAUAGGGAUUCAAGUGUAAGUCAUAGCUGGAAUAGUUGACAGUGAUUCUUCUUAUCGAAGAUGAUCUGAUUUGGUAAGAAAUGUUGUGUAAUAUUAGCGGUGGAUUCUAAUUUCAAUACUGUAACCUGGA